GACUACCAGACUUUUUUUUUUUUUUUUUAAUACCACGGUGUUCUUUAUUUUCUCAUAUGUGCAUCAUAUAUUGUAAUACGAAAUGGAUAUUGACUGCAGCUGAGGUGGAUAUCCACAUGUAUUGACCUCAGAGCGCUAAGAAUAAUCAAGACGAGACAGCGGUGUUCGCAGUGUGCUGUCCAUUAUCAAGGUCAUGUUUUCAAAACGGCAUCAUCAUCUGCAACAGUGCCAAGCACAAGGACCUGUGGUGUGCUUCUACCCAGUAGAAUACAGCAAAGGUGACUGGAUGCCACUCCUGCGAUUACAUGGUGUUAUGUAAGACUUGCUCUAGAGUCUUGCUGCCCUCUUGGGAAAGCCAAUAUGCUAAGGAACUGCAGAUGGCCUUGAGGAACUGAGGGUAGCCUCUAGGAGAUGAGGGAAGGCCUCCAGCAGAGACCCACCAGGCAGCAAGAAGCCAGGGGCCCGGAGACACACAGCUGAGUGAAAACAAAGUCUGCCAGUCAUCAGACUUGGUGACCUUGGAGGUGUGGAGGUGACUUUGGAAGCUGAUUCUUCCCCAGUGAAGCUCUUCUAUGGGAAAAUGGGCCGGCUGACACCUGACUGCAGCCUUGUGAGACCCUAAGCAGAGAAGCCAGCUAAGUCAGGCCCAGACUUCUAACCCACGGAAACUAUGAGACAACAGGGCACCUCUUCACUUCCGGUUCCCUCUGCCUGAAACACUUUUCCUCUGGCUCUUUACACUGCUGGAUCCUCCUCACCUGUGAAGCCUCGCCUCCAGGGUCACCCGGGCAUUCCUUCUCGAGCCAGCCAGCCUCCGUCCCCGACCUUCCUUCAUCUCCCGCGCACGCCAUGUCUGCUUGCUUCUCUACACGCAUCACCACCAAACUUUUAGAGUUUUAAUCUUGCCAGUAACCAUCCCGUAAGCACGUAAGGAUGGAAAUCAUCUCAUCAUAUUUGAAAUUCAAAGAGGAAGCUCAGAGAACACCACAUGACAAAAGCUGCUCCUGAAAAGGUAUAUUGCAAAAGAGAAGAUAUGACCAACUGAAAAAGCAUACAGCCACGGAGAAGGAGUGGGCCACCUGCAAGUUUCCACGGUCAGCGGGGGGCACCGGACACCCUUUCGGAGAGAUCGCACCGCUCUUGGCUAGCUCUUUCAAGCCUCACAAGACAACUUUCAAACCUGAUUAGUAUGUAUGAUGGGAAAUCAGAUACAUUAUAUUUAGCUUGAAGUGCAGAGCGCCGUGGGUACAAAGAAAGAGAGAUAGGGGGAGGGAUAAAAGGGAGAAAAAAAAGAACAUCUGUAAUCCUUUUCAGAGGACUCCGUGU